rnacentral:rRNA from 1 species
UACGUAGGGUGCGAGCGUUGUCCGGAAUUAUUGGGCGUAAAGGGCUCGUAGGCGGUCUGUCACGUCGAAAGUGAAAACUCAGGGCUUAACCCUGAGCCUGCUUCCGAUACGGGCAGACUAGAGGUAUGCAGGGGAGAAUGGAAUUCCUGGUGUAGCGGUGAAAUGCGCAGAUAUCAGGAGGAACACCAGUGGCGAAGGCGGUUCUCUGGGCAUUACCUGACGCUGAGGAGCGAAAGUGUGGGGGGCGAACAGG